rnacentral:rRNA from 1 species
CGAGCGCAACCCUGCCUUUAGUUUGCCAGCAGUUCGGCUGGGCAUCUAAAGGGACUGCCGGUGUUAAACCGGAGGAAGGUGGGGAUGACGUCAAGUCCUCAUGGCCUUUAUGACCAGGGCUACACACGUACUACAAUGGCCGAUACAAAGGGCAGCGACACUGCGAGGUGAAGCCAAUCCCGUAAAAUCGGUCUCAGUCCGGAUUGGAGUCUGCAACUCGACUCCAUGAAGUUGGAAUCGCUAGUAAUCGUGGAUCAGCAUGCCACGGUGAAUACGUUCCCGGGCCUU